UUAUGAAUUUGUUUAUAUCUAAAAAUUCCUGGAAUUGUUUAAAAGGGUUAGUUGGGGCAAAUUUGAAUCUCUUACUUAAAACAGCUAAUUGGGUAGAAGAGAUGUUUUUUUAGGAUAAAUUAAAAAUGCCUAACUCUUUUUCAGUUUCAGUGAUUUCUAUUCCCCUAACCUUUCUCUUUUGUUUUCUUCUUCCACCACUCCCUCCUCUAAAGCAAGGCUUCUUUUCCUUGCUCUUGGUUGUUGGAAUGUUAGUGAGUAGGGCUUGGUGUUUGAUCUGAUUUCUAAAAAAAUAUCCUCUGUGUCUCCUUCUGAGUCAAUUGGCAAUAAUUGGUACCUAUUAGGAUGGAUGUGUGGGAUAGGUGAUCUUGG